UACGGAGGGUGCAAGCGUUAUCCGGAUUUAUUGGGUUUAAAGGGUCCGUAGGCGGAUCUGUAAGUCAGGGGUGAAAUCUCACAGCUUAACUGUGAAACUGCCAUUGAUACUGCAGGUCUUGAGUAAGGUAGAAGUGGCUGGAAUAAGUAGUGUAGCGGUGAAAUGCAUAGAUAUUACUUAGAACACCAAUUGCGAAGGCAGGUCACUAUGUCUUAACUGACGCUGAUGGACGAAAGCGUGGGGAGCGAACAGG
rnacentral:rRNA from 1 species